rnacentral:tRNA from 1 species
GGGGUUGUGGCUCAGUGGCAGAGCACUCGCUUAGCACGUGAGGCACUGAGUUUAAUCCUCAGCACCACA